UUGGGGGCUGGAAUGUUUGAUGUGUAUCUAUCCCUUCCUCUCUCAGCCUGCCAUUCACAAUUUUGACCUCUGGCUGAAGCCUGAAGUUUCAGAACCAUGCAGUGAACAAACCUCUUAUUCUGAGCUGUGAAAUAGCAGUGCUGGGUGACUGUGCAUUUCAAGCCACAUUUUGUUUAUCAUUCUGGGAUUUCACGGGACAGAAUGAAGUGCUGAAGUAACCCUACCUGCACUGCAAAAUACAGCUGCUUAGUUCAGAAUCUACACUCUCACAACCAAGAAAAACAAGAAACAUCUCUCUCUGUUGGGGUCCUGUAAGCCAGCUUACCACGGGAGAACAAAUGUCUGAUUCAAAAUCCAAGUAUACUCUUGUAGCAUGAUUUUUGCCAUUGCUGUAUCUUCUGUUCUCGCUAUAAAUAGUUUAAUAUGAAGGCCCACAUUUUUACAGCAAGGUUUCUCCAUUCAGCAUAAAAGAUCUGGUUUCUCCUGUUCAUUCUGUUCACAAUGACUACAUGCUUUGGGAUUCUGAAAAAUGUCAUCUCUUCUGCUGACAGCAUCCAUUUGGAAGUGGGAGAUCUUGACAAGUUCUGUGUUGUGCUCUGUCCAGGACAGUGAGGGAAGGGAAGAACAGGUGGAAAGGACUAUUUGUGUCCUUCUCUUUUGCUCCUCAUCUCAAAGUGGUACUAUUUUCCUAUUGGUUUUCUCCUCACAGGAAAUCAAAAUAAUGAACUCAGACUAAUUCUUAGCUCUUAGGUGGUUUAAGCAGAACAGGUGAAAUUUAUUCACAAAGACACUGUCGAUUGACCUUCCAAACAAAAGGCCUUUAUGAAGUUCACCUGUACAACCGUGCUCUCUUUAUGACUUCAGUCCGUCAGGUUGUAUUAGGAAGAGGAAUUUGUUAGGAUUUUACAGCUGGAUUUUUUAACAGUUAGACUGCUACUUUCAGAAAAAACUCAAUGAUGAAAACACUUUGGGUAGCUGCAUGCACGCAAGUGCUUGCAUGUGGAGGACAUCAAGCCAUAAAGAUGUUCCAGCCACCUUGGCAUGGGAAGGACCAAUUUCACUGGACCAGAUUGCUCUGAGCUCCAUCCAGCCUGGCCUUGAACACUUCUGGGGAUGGGGCAUCCACAGCUUCUCUGGGCAACCUGUGCCAGUGCCUCACCCUUCCACUUUUCCUCAUAGGAGAGGUGCUCCAGUCUGCUGAUCAUCUUGGUGACUUCCUCUGGACUCACUUCAACUGGUCCAUGUCCUUCUGUGCUGGGGACCCCAGAGCUGGAUGCCGCACUGCAGGUGCAGCCUCACCAGAGCAGAGUAGAGGGGCAGAAUCACCUCCAGCUUUCUCUACAAGUGGGAAUUUUUGUCCUUUCCAUUUUGAAAAAUAACAUAAUUGUGGAGAACUGGGAGUGAGAAGUGUCAUAGUCACAAAAGCAGUGUGGGACUGUGGUAGUGUUGAUAACGUGUGGAAGGGGUUUCUUGGGAUAUCACCACUAAGAAGGGGAGGAAUUUCCUUAGAAGAGCCUGGAAAAGGGUGGCCUGGGGUAGAGUGAGGUCUGUCUUUCCCUGAGUUUCUGUGGGUAGAGUUCAGUUUGCUGAUGAGGGCAUCUUAAAUUACAUGUCUGUGUGUAAGCUAGGCAUGUAAGCUCCUCUUAUAUUUGGUGGAAUCUCAUCAGCGUGCUCAGAGGAGCAAGAGAGGGGUCAGGCUCAGUCUGAAGUGACACUGCUCACCUGAAGCUGUCUACAUUGUGGGGAUUGUUUUGACACUUGAGUUUAGGUGUUUGGAUCUCAAACUUGGUUCUUUCCUCUCCCUUACUGACUAACCAGCCUCUGCAUUUGAUAUUGCAAUGGUUAUCCAUGUCUGAUGGAGGUGAAACCUUGCAUUAGGAGAAGAUAUUUCACAAGCUGCAUUUACCUCAAGUAUCAUACUUGGAACAAUUAGGAUGGACUACUCACAUAUAUAUGGUUAUGUUCAAAAUUAUAUUCUGGCAAGUAAAUACCAUGUAAUCUGAAAAAAAAAGAGUCUUACCUUUUUGAUUAAAAGCAUAUUAUUGGAGUGUGUGUGUUUCAUUUUUAUUCUCUUAGUUUAAUUGGUCUUGGACUUUUAGAAGGCUGUUGCUCCUCUCUAAAGUGAAGCUCUUGCUGUCUGGCUCAGUUUACCCAAAUAUAGAAGAAUGUUGAUAACUAGGACCAAUUAAAACUAUUGUUUUGGUAGAAAUCUGAGAUAUGGAAUAAAUUUGCUAGCAAAAUUUUAUCUCUUACAUGUGUAUGUAUGUUUGAUUGGUUGUUCAGGUCAGGCUGUCUGAGAGUAACAAAUGCAGCAGCACAUUUGCUGCUGUUCCCAUUCUCCUCCAUGGGACAGGUUCUCAAGCUGUUUUCCAUAGUGAUUAGUGGUAGAGGCUUGCACUGGUGCUUUGUCAUGGCUCUGGUUUUGACUGGAAGUAUUUGGUGAAUGGAGACUGAAGUAAAGUGGUGUUUUGCUCUGAGGGGCCUCUAGGCACUGCACAAAUGCCAAAAAUAAUGACCUCUGAUGCCAGGGAGGAUUUUCAAUAUUCUCUUGUGUUAUACUUUUCAAAUGCCAGUUCUUUUUAGGUGUUUCUGAAUGUGGACUUUAGUCAGAAGUGUUUUGAUUUUAUCUAAAUUCUGCAGUCAACUGGAGAUUAUUGUGUUGCUGAUGUACCACUGUGGGGAGCAGGGAAACAGCUCUCAAAUGUUAAAGCAUUAAUUUUCUCUGAUGCUGUGUAUCAUCUGUGGGACAAGCAGAAGAUAAGAUGAAUGUUGUGUUUAAUGAGAGACAAUUCUUCCCUUCUCCUUUUUAGUUUUUUUGACCAACUCAUUUUUAAGUACCAUGGGGUUUCCUUGGCUGUAAUGCCAUUAAGUGAAACUUUGAUAUAGUGAUUUAGCCUGGGGAUGGCUUUAAGUGCCUGUGUCCUACUUCUAGUACUUCUGUGCUUCUAAUAAUGUUGAUGGUGUGCUUUUAUAUUGUCAUUAGCUGCUCUUGGAAUUUGCAGGGCUACUUAAAAAAUGAGAAUGAUGUCCAAAUAUGACAGACUCUUGAAGUGAGAGAAGCAUUGCAAGUGCACAGUGAGAGGGCAGCUGGAGUGAGGAAGCAGUACAAUAGCGUGUUUCUUUGAAUUUGGGAGGUGCUAGUGUGCAGCUGAGACCUUUGGCACCUUUGGUGAGGAAAUUUUCCUAUCUGACCAUCCAGGAGCCACUCUGGGAGUCACACCAGCAUGACUUGAGCUGGGACCGAGGCCCCUUCACAGCCACACUCCCCACACUGAAAUGGUCAGACCAGGCUUCCUUACUACCCCUAGCCUGUCUUUCCAUAGCAGAAUCUCAGACAUGCAGAUACUUAAAAUAAUUUCAUCAUUGUGCAAUAACAAAAUAACAACUCGAGCUGCUGUCUCUUCGGAAGGAGCCCAAACAAAGGAAACCCUGGGCUUCUAUAUCCUUAUGGUCUAAGCAGAGGAAAGUCUGUGCUCUUCCUGCUGAGUCACUGGCUCCUGCUGUGCCUCUGAGUCACCUGGCUGGUGCCACAGGUCCCUGGGCCCUUUGCUAUGCAAAGGGUCGGUGCCAGUUCUCAGCCUCUGGCCUCAGGCUCCUGCCACCCAGAGCUCAAUCUGUAGCUCUCACUGCAGCUGCUCACCCAGCCACCUGUACUGAAUGUAUUCCUGAGCACUUGGAAAAGACAAAUACUACUGGUGAUAGUGGCAUGAAACAUCACAAGUAAAUUUCCUUUUGGAGAUUAGGGCAUGUGUAUCCAGUUCUAUCAACAAAUCAACUGUUUAAGAAGAGAAAAUAGAUGAUGUAUUAGGUUUUUUACUUUAGCUUUUGAACCGUCUCUUGUUCUGUUUGUGCAAAGUUGUGAUGCUUUCCUAUUCUCUGAAUAUUCCACCUGCCUUCUUCAGUCUGCCACCCUGUCAGACCGUACAGAUUGACACAUAGCCAUCUCCUGCCUGCCAAUUCAGUCUCCACUUUAUCUGCCAAGCUGAUUUUGUCACCCUAAAGCCUAGAUGAGGAGUGUCUUUCCCCUCCCUAGAUGAUAAGUGUCUUUUCUCAUCUAUACCCCUGUGGAGAGCUAAGAGUUAAUUUGAGUCAGGGUUAGCUUCAACUGUUAAGACUAAUGUAAUAUUUGAUUUUGCUUUGCAAACUGUUGGCUGAAAUGGGAGAUGCUGAUCCUCAUCCCUGUGGUGCAGUGCUGCUAAACCCUACCACCUAUGCCUGCUUCAGAAUUAAUAACCAGCAGAAUGUGUUUGGGGCUUCCCACAGUCUGACUGUGAGCGUGCAGUGGGAGAAGCUCAGCAUGGAUUCCAAGAGACAGCCAUGCCCAUCUCGUGUCCCUCAGCAGCUCACAGAUGUGACCCUUCUUGCAACCUCAAGAGCUGCAACAGUAGAAGCAGCGAGAGUGUGCAGCCCUGGCUGCUGGGAACUCUUUGGGUUACAGGAAGCUGUUACAUUGGCCAUUUUUGCUAAUGCAAACAUUAAUUUCCUGCUUACACAACUUCUAGCAGUCACUAAAUGGUCUGGAGCAUCAAUUCUUGCAUCUCUCUUACCUCCUAGUUCCUUACCCAGAGAUCAUAGUUGUUACUGAUAGGGGCUGUUGCCAGAGGAUUGACUUGGUAGAAUGAAUAUUUCUAAUUCUACCAAUCUAGGAAUUAAUAUUGUGAUGAGGCAUCAAGCUGCACUUCUGGGGUUAAAUGUGUCUUUAAUAUGCAUAUCUAAAAAUAGAAAACCUUCAGCACUGAAUAAGGUAGAGUUACUGCAUAUCUUGAGGCCUUUUUCUAUCUUUAACAAAGAAAAUUUCGUAAGUGGGUAUUAUGUUCUGCCAAUUUUCCUUUUUCUUCUAAUGUCUGUAAGUGCAUCCAUCAACGUUGCUGACCUAGACACCCUCUACUUUUUUUGCCUUUUUUUCCCUUGCUUUAAACAGAAGCAUGACAAUAGAGUCUGUACCUAAUGGUUUUAGAACUGCUAUUAAUCCAUCUUUCAUUCAAGGCCGAUUGCUUUCAAUCUUAGCAGCAUGCUUUAGAUUGUGAAAGAUGUUGUGAAUGUCUUUUCAUUAUUAAAGGGCAGAUGUGACUGAACUUCAGCACACCUAUGCUGAAAAUACAGUCUUCUAUCUAAAUAAAGCUUGUGGUAUGUUUGAAGAUGUAUUUUUAAAUAAUCAACAUUCUUAUUGAGUGAAUAAAAAAAAAUUCUGGAGGUAAAGGCUAUCACAAUAAUAUGUUGUUCUUCAGAUAUGACUGUCUCAAACUUACUUCUCUUUUAGUAAGUUGGAACUUUUGCAUUGUUUUUAGGUUUGUCCUGAAGAGCAAAUAGCUUGUGAGAAUUGUUGACAUUUCAGCAUUAGAUGGUAAUAUCUGAAGUUGAUGAGGAAAACUGAGACAGGAUGAAAAAUGAGCUAACCUGCAAGUGUACUAAACUUUCCUGAACCUUUAUUGUUGACUGUAGAAGAAGAAUGUGAAGUGCUUGUUAGGAUUCAUGCUUAUUUAACUGUCACCAUGGUUUUCUUUCUCUGUAGGGAAGGCUACUUUGUGGCUUGCAAACUGUAGUUAAUGGUCCAUAGUGACUGGUAGCAGAUUAUUUUGGAAAAGUUUUUUGUCUGAAUAAUUAUCAGCUCUGUUUUUCCUAGAUGCUGUUUCAUGUUCUCUUACUCUCUCUUGAAAUAAUUUAGUAUUGGAAGGUCUUAUUUUUUAGAGUAUUUUCUAAUGGGAGAAAAAAAAUAAAGAACGGUGCCAAAUAAAAUGCUUAUAUCAGGUAAGUGUUCAGCAUGUUGAUUAAACUGUCAAAUUCAGAGGAAAUUCAGUUAGUUGUAUAUGUCCAUUGUAAAUACUGCACCUUCUGCUUUUUACUGUGAAGAAAACAGUAUAAGAUAGUACCUAUGUGUUUGGUUCUGGUUUUUUGUUUUGGUUUGGGUUUUUUCCUGUUGACCUUUUAUUGUCUGCUC